AAUCUAAAAUAUAGAAAAGAAAAAGCAGUAAUAUAAGAACAUAUUUUCAUAUAUCAUAAAGAUAUGGACUUUUAUCUAAAUGAUAUUUCCACUAAUUAUUUUAAACUUUUUACCCUCAUUAUAGUUUACGAAAUCUUUAUUUCUUUUAGUGAGUAAAGGAAUCCUUUAACAAUAUGUAUGAGCCCCUUGGAAAUCAAGUCGUUUCUCACAUUUAUUUUAAAGAUAGGUACUCUUACCAAUUGUAUCCCAUACAAUUUCCUUAAAUAGCUCUAUGUCAAAUAGUCUCCUGGUAGUCAGGUCGAUCCUAU
rnacentral:lncRNA from 1 species